ensembl:lncRNA
ACUUCACCGGGAACACCGGGGAAUAGCAGCGGGGAAUAGCACCGGGAACUGCUCCGGGAACUUCACCGGGAACACCGGGGAACUGCUCCGGGAGCAGCGGGAACAUGGGGAAACACUGGGAAACAACUCCAGAAAGCCCCGGGAACACCGGGGAACAACCCAGGGGAACCCCGGGGAACAACACCGGCAAACAACCCAGGGGGACACCGAGAAACAACACCGGGANNNNNNNNNNNNNNNNNNNNGGGGGACACCGGGAAACACCGAGAACACCGGGUAACAAUCACGGGAACACGGUGAAGCACCGGGGGAAACCGUGAAACAACCCAGGGGAACACCGGGAAGCACAGGGAACACCGGGAAGCACCGGGUACAACACCGGGGAACACCGAGGAGUACCGAGAACCAAGCCCGGGGAACACCAGGAAGCCCCGGCUACAACACCGACGAACACCGUGAACCAAGCCCGGGAAGCACCGGGAACACCGAGAAACACCGGGAAACACCAGGAACGCGGAGAACCAAGCCCGGGGAACACCGGGAACACCGAGAAACAACACCGGGAACAGCGGGAGCCGGCGCGGGGAGCAGCGGCCCAGCAGCGAGCCCUGAGGGCCCUGAGGCCAGGAGGAUGCUGUGAUGCUGCUGAGCUGCAGCGAGGAGCUCUGCUCCAGGAUUUAGCUCUGCCCAGAGCGCCGGGGAUGCUGCGGAAAGGUUGCCAGAGAGGCGGAUACCAGCCUGCAUCCAGCUUUUUGCUGCAUCUCUGCUGCCGAGAGCGAGAGAUGGAUCAUCCCUGGGAUUAUUCCUGCCUGUCCCUGAGCAGAGAGGGGACUCUGGAGGUGCUGCUGUGCCAGGGAGGUGUGGAUGGGCACCGGACCCUGCGGGUGCUGUGGAUUUUUCAGUUCUGGAGCCGACGCUCCCCUCACGGUGAGGUCUCUGUGGCGCAAUGGACGAGCGCGCUGGACUUCUAAUCCAGAGGUUCCGGGUUCGAGUCCCGGCAGAGAUGAUCUCCAGGCAGGUGUCUCUUUUCUUUUAGGGACAUUUUCCCCCAGACAUCAUCUCCAGGAUCUCCAGGCAGGUGUCUCUUGUCUUUUAGGGACAUUUCCCCUCAGACAUCAUCUCCAGGAUCUCCAGUCUCUUUCCUUUUAGUGCCAUUUCCCCCAGAGAUGAUCACCAGGCAGGUGUCUCUUUUCUUUUAGUGCCAUUUCCCCCCAGACAUCAUCUCCAGGAUCUCCAGGCAGGUGUCUCUUUUCUUUGAGUGUCAUUUCCCCCCCAGAGAUGAUCUCCAGGAUCUCCAGGCAGAUGUCUCUUUUCUUUUAGGGAUAUUCCCCCCAGAAAUGAUCUCCAGGAUCUCCAGGCAGAUGUCUCUUGUCUUUUAGGGACAUUUCCCCCCAGACAUCAUCUCCAGGUAGGUGUCUCUUUUCUUUUAGGGACAUUUCCCCCCAGAAAUGAUCUCCAGGAUCUCCAGGCAGGUGUCUCUUGUCUUUUAGGGACAUUUCCCCUCAGACAUCAUCUCCAGGAUCUCCAGUCUCUUUCCUUUUAAUGCCAUUCCCCCCAGAGAUGAUCUCUAGGCAGGUGUCUCUUUUCUUUGGGUGCCAUUUCCCUCCAGACAUCAUCUCCAGAAUCUCCAGGCAGGUGUCUCUUUUCUUUUAGGGACAUUUUCCCCCAGACAUCAUCUCCAGGAUCUCCAGGAAGGUGUCUCUUUUCUUUUAGGGACUUUUCCCCCGAGAGUUAAUCUCCAGGAUCUCCAGGCAGGUGUCUCUUUUCUUUUAGGGACAUUUUCCCCCAGACAUCAUCUCCAGGAUCUCCAGGCAGGUGUCUCUUUUCUUUGGGUGCCAUUUCCCUCCAGACAUCAUCUCCUGGAUCUCCAGGCAGGUGUCUCUUUUCUCUUAGUGCCAUUCCCCUCCCAGGUCCUGACCCCUUACAUUUGUAACACCCCUGAGGGUUUGCAUGGGGAGGGAAUGACUUUUCCUGGCACAGCUGAUGGAUGUAACAUCCCUGUGCUCCCUUCUCCAGGCAUUUCUCCUCCAUCACCUCCCCCUUCCCUCCUUCCCUUUGGUUUCUCCUCCAAGCAGUUGCUUUAACCCCACAUGUCCUAGAACCAACAAAAAGGGUGGAAUGUCCCUCUGGCAACUCCAGAACUGGAAAAAGGGUGGAAUUCUGCCAUGGCAACACCAAAACAAACAAAACCAGUGAGAUGAUCCCAUGGCAACCCUAGAACCAACAGAAACAAUGGAAUGAUCCCAUGGCAACCCUAGAAAUGGUGGAAUGUUCCUCUGGGAAUCCUGGAGCCAACAAAAAUGGUGGAAUGGUCCUGUGGUGAUCCCAGAACCCACAGAAAUGGUGGAAUGCUCCUCUGGAAAUCCUAGAACUGACAAAAAAAAGGUGGAAUUCUCCUCUGGCAACCCUAGAGCCAGCAGAAACAGUGGAAUGCUCCACUGGAAAUCCUAGAACCAAAAAAAAAGGUGGAAUGUCCCUCUGGCAACUCCAGAACUGGAAAAAGGGUGGAAUUUGACCAUGGCAACCCUAAAACAAACAAAACCAGUGAGAUGAUCCCAUGGCAACCCUAGAAAUGGUGGGAUGUUCCUCUGGGAAUCCUAGAAAUGACAAAAGUGGUGGAAUUCUACCAUGGCAACCCUAAAACAAAACCAGUGGGAUGAUCCCAUGGCAACCCCAGAACUGCCAAAAAUGGUGAAAUGCUCCCCUGGCAAUCCUAAACCAAACAGAACCAAUGGGAUGCUUGUUUGACAUCCCCAGAACCAAGGAAAACUCUGGGAUGUUCCCCUGAUGUCCCUAAAAUCAGCAAAAAAUGGUGGAAUUCUCCCAUGGAUCCUCCUUUCCCAGGAGUUCUGUUCCUCCUGCCCCAUGAGCAAUAAAAUAAACAAAAUUUGGGUUUUAUUUCA